rnacentral:rRNA from 1 species
AGAGUUUGAUCCUGGCUCAGAGUGAACGCUGGCGGCGUGCCUAACACAUGCAAGUCGAACGAGAACGGAUAUAAGUUUACUUAUAUUGUCAGCUAAGUGGCGCACGGGUGGGUAAUAUAUAGUUAAUCUGCCCUGAAGAAGAGAAUAAUUGUUGGAAACGACUUGUAAUGCUCUAUAUGCCUUUAUCACAUAAGUGAGCAAGGGAAAUAUUUAUAGCUUCGGGAUGAGACUGUACGGUAUCAGCUAGUUGGUGAGGUAAUGGCUCACCAAGGCUAUGACAUCUAACUGGUUUGAGAGGAUGAUCAGUCACACUGGAACUGAGACACGGUCCAGACUCCUACGGGAGGCAGCAGUGGGGAAUAUUGCACAAUGGAGGAAACUCUGAUGCAGCAACGCCGCGUGGAGGAUGACACAUUUCGGUGCGUAAACUCCUUUUAUUAGGGAAGAUAAUGACGGUACCUAAUGAAUAAGCACCGGCUAACUCCGUGCCAGCAGCCGCGGUAAUACGGGGGGUGCAAGCGUUACUCGGAAUCACUGGGCGUAAAGAGCAUGUAGGCUGAUUAGUAAGUUGGAAGUGAAAUCCUAUGGCUCAA